AAAAAUACAAAGAAAAGGCCAGCGUUCGUCGCUGGGGGCGUUCGUCGCUGGGGGCGUCCGUCGCCCGGCGGGCAUUCAUCGCCCGGCUUCUCUGUUAGCGGUGACCGCUCAGGCCGCCGAAGUAUCCAAACUUAAACGUAAGCUGGGGCUGGCCGAUGAGGAUCUAAUCCGCAUCAACAAGAGAUUGGAUGAGGCGCAAGGCAGCAUGCCUGCGGUUGAGGCCCUUCAGGGUGAACUUACCCAGGCCAAGGAGUAGGAAAGGGUGAACAAGGCGGCCGCGUAUAAAGCGGCCGAGGAUUUGAAGUCCGAGCAGGCUGUCCACUGCCAACAUGAGGAGCGGGUGACCGAUUUGGAGCAGGCGCUCAAGGACGUCGCCAACUAGUGCGAGUCCCUAGAGGAGAGGAGCAAAGCCCAGGAGACCGAUCUUGCCCAGGCCCUUAAAGAGGCCGAGGAAGCGUGGGCCGAAUCCCGAGUGGCUCGUGAGGAGAUCUAGCAAGCCGAGCAGAGAGCGGCUGAUGUCUUUGCGAAUGUUCCGAAGAGUACCGCCGACGCCAUGCAGUUCUUCCGGGCUCAGGAGGGACACACCACGGAGGGGCUAUUUUGGUCACAAUUCGAGGUGCGGGAGCGCCUAGCGAUGCUAAAUGACCAGAUGGCGCGGUGGGCCGAGCUGCAUAGGAUGUCCGGAUCGGCCAUGAGGGACGUCAUAGUCCGGCUGUGGCCACCCGAACCCGUUCUGAGCAGCUAUUUUGGCCUAGUGCAGCGACUUGUUGACGCAAUGCCCCGUAUUGAUGCGGUCAAGCGGUCGUCAUUUAUAGAAGGUGUGCGGCUGGCCUUUGCCCGUGCCAAGAUGCACUGGGCCAAGAUGAAAUCCGCCAGCGUGCCCGUUGAAGGUCCGCCCGGAGACAAGGUCCACCGUACGCCGGAGCGCUAUUUUGAAGACGUCCU